UACAGAGGUCUCAAGCGUUGUUCGGAUUCAUUGGGCGUAAAGGGUGCGUAGGCGGCGCGGUAAGUCGGGGUGUGAAAUCUCGGAGCUUAACUCCGAAACUGCACUCGAUACUGCCGUGCUUGAGGACUGGAGAGGAGACUGGAAUUUACGGUGUAGCGGUGAAAUGCGUAGAUAUCGUAAGGAAGACCAGUGGCGAAGGCGGGGUCUCUGGACAGUUCCUGACGCUGAGGCACGAAGGCCAGGGGAGCAAACGGG
rnacentral:rRNA from 1 species